UACGGGGGGGGCAAGCGUUGUUCGGAAUUACUGGGCGUAAAGGGCUCGUAGGUGGCCAACUAAGUCAGACGUGAAAUCCCUCGGCUUAACCGGGGAACUGCGUCUGAUACUGGAUGGCUUGAGUUCGGGAGAGGGAUGCGGAAUUCCAGGUGUAGCGGUGAAAUGCGUAGAUAUCUGGAGGAACACCGGUGGCGAAGGCGGCAUCCUGUACCGACACUGACACUGAGGAGCGAAAGCCAGGGGAGCAAACGGG
rnacentral:rRNA from 1 species